rnacentral:rRNA from 1 species
GACGAACGCUGGCGGCGUGCUUAACACAUGCAAGUCGAACGGAAACGCCCUUCUUUUUUGGUGUGCUCGAGUGGCGAAGGCGUACGUAACAGGUGAGUAUCUUGACCUUGACUUUGGGAUAACUUCAAGAAACUGGGGCUACUACCGGAACGGAGCUCAUGCUGCAGGGUGGGGGUUGGAACGUCGCGGCGGUUGGGGAUGGACUGGCGGGUUAUCGGCUUGUUAGUUGGGUGGUGGCUUACCAAGGCUUUGAGGGGUCGCCGACCUGAGAGGGUGACCGGGCACAAUAGGACUGAGGUACGGCGCAGACCCCUACGGGAGACAGCAGUGGGGAGGAUUGCCCAAUGCGCCCAAGUCGGAUGCAGCAGCACCGCGUUCGGGAUGAUGGCCUGCUGGUAGUGAACCGCAGUCGCCUGGGACGAAGCUUUAGUGACGGUAACGAAUAAAUAAGCACCGGCUAACUACGUG